rnacentral:rRNA from 1 species
UACGUAGGGGGCAAGCGUUAUCCGGAAUCAUUGGGCGUAAAGCGCGUGUAGGCGGUUCCGUAAGUCCGCUCUGAAAGCCCAGGGCUCAACCCUGGGAGGCGGGUGGAUACUACGGAACUGGAGUACGGAAGAGGAGAUUGGAAUUCCUGGUGUAGCGGUGAAAUGCGCAGAUAUCAGGAGGAACACCUGUGGUGUAGACAGCUUUCUGGACCAUUGCUGACGCUGAGACACGAAAGCGUGGGUAGCAAACAGG